CCCCUAGAUGUUCUGGGCCGCACGCGCGCUACACUGAACAGUUCAACAAGUCUUAACCUUGGCCGAUAGGUCUGGGUAAUCUUUGAACGCUGUUCGUGAUUGGGAUAGACCUUUGCAAUUAUGGGUCUUCAACGAGGAAUUCCUAGUAAACGCAAGUCAUCAGCUUGCAUUGAUUACGUCCCUGCCCUUUGUACACACCGCCCGUCGCACCUACCGAUUGGAUGGUCCGGUGAAAUCUCGGGACGGCGGCUUGGUCGCUUGCGUCCGACUGCUGAAACUUGAUUAAACCAUAUCAUUUAGAGGAAGGUGAAGUCGUANCA
rnacentral:rRNA from 1 species